CAGUCGCCGCGGUAAUACAGAGGGUGCAAGCGUUAAUCGGAAUUACUGGGCGUAAAGCGCGCGUAGGUGGUUUGUUAAGUUGGAUGUGAAAUCCCCGGGCUCAACCUGGGAACUGCAUCCAAAACUGGCGAGCUAGAGUAUGGUAGAGGGUGGUGGAAUUUCCUGUGUAGCGGUGAAAUGCGUAGAUAUAGGAAGGAACAUCAGUGGCGAAGGCGACCACCUGGACUGAUACUGACACUGAGGUGCGAAAGCGUGGAGCAAACAGGAUUAGAUACCCCCGUAGUCCCUGUCUCUUAUACAC
rnacentral:rRNA from 1 species